GGCCUUGACAUGCAGAGAACUUCCAGAGAUGGAUGGUGCCUUCGGGAACUCUGACACAGGUGCUGCAUGGCUGUCGCCAGCUCGUGUCGUGAGAUGUUGGGUUAAGUCCCGUAACGAGCGCAACCCUUGUCCUUAGUUACCAGCACGUUAUGGUGGGCACUCUAAGGAGACUGCCGGUGACAAACCGGAGGAAGGUGGGGAUGACGUCAAGUCAUCAUGGCCCUUACGGCCUGGGCUACACACGUGCUACAAUGGUCGGUACAAAGGGUUGCCAAGCCGCGAGGUGGAGCUAAUCCCAUAAAACCGAUCGUAGUCCGGAUCGCAGUCUGCAACUCGACUGCGUGAAGUCGGAAUCGCUAGUAAUCGUGAAUCAGAAUGUCACGGUGAAUACGUUCCCGGGCCUU
rnacentral:rRNA from 1 species